AAAAAAAAAUUCUCUGACUGGUUAACAAAAUAACAGCAUUCUUCACCUAGCACCUGGCAUGUUCCCCCUUGGGCCUCUGUCAGCAUGUCUAUUUUGUAACAUGACUACUGCUAGAAAAUUUAUUUGAUCUUGUACUGUAUUUAAGGACUGGCUUAUUUUAUCCAUGUCUGCUGAAAUCUUUAUGGACAGGGCUUGAUAGAAGUGUGUGGAUGUAGAAAUGCCCACUAUCCCCAUUGCCAUCCCCCGCUCUCAUUAAGAAGGGGAGUAGAAGGGGAGCUGCCCUUUUUCUGAUUGUGUUCUGUGGGGGAACUUGUUUAGACAUCUGGGCUUCUGUAUAAAUGGUCAUGGGAGGGCCAAGGAAGGCUGUGCAUCAGAAAACGUCAGACUGAUUGAGGCACUGGAAUGCCUCUCGAUUACAUGUGAAGAACAGGCCAUUGGACAGGCAGAUCGGAUGCUCUGCUGAGAUAAAGAGGGAGCAAGCAAGGCGAGUGAUGAUGUCAUUUUGCCCCAUGCAUAUCAGAAUCGAGUUGUCAGGAAGAUUGUAGGAACUGAGGAGCCACUGAGAGAAGCAGAGUCACCUGGGAUGAGGAUUAUCUCCUUGAAGAAGAUGAGAGUGCACGGUUACCUAGGAAUUAUUCUGGAGAAAUUAAGUGCAAUAGCUGCUUCGAUGGGAAGAAUGGAUAUUUGCCAAUAGCUCCUUUUCAGCUCCAGAAGUCUCAGUUUGGGUUCUACUUUUCAAAACGGAGCUACUGUUAUCACCAAUAGUCCUGAUGAAGGUUGCUGGGAUGGAAUGCUCUCAGGACUGAGCAGUCAAAUCAAAAUCUGGGUGGACUCUCUGACCCAGUGGAGUCACAUCUUGCUGAAAUACCUGGCUUCGAGUA